rnacentral:rRNA from 1 species
UACGAAGGGGGCUAGCGUUGUUCGGAAUUACUGGGCGUAAAGCGCGCGUAGGCGGUGAUCUUUGUCAGAGGUGAAAUCCCGAGGCUCAACUUCGGAAUUGCCUUUGAAACGGGAUUGCUUGAGUCCGAGAGAGGUGAGUGGAAUUCCCAGUGUAGCGGUGAAAUGCGUAGAUAUUGGGAGGAACACCAGUGGCGAAGGCGGCUCACUGGACCGGAACUGACGCUGAGGCGCGAAAGCGUGGGGAGCAAACGGGG